ensembl:lncRNA
ACCCUGGUCAUAACCCUGGUCAUAAUCACCCUGGCUGUAACCCUAGUCAUAAUCAACCUUGGCUGUAACCCUGGUCAUAAUCAACCCUGGCUGUAACCCUGGCUAUAACCCUGGUCAUAAUCACCCUGGUCAUAAUCACCCUGGCUGUAACUCUGGUCAUAAACACCCUGGCUGUAACUCUGGUCAUAAUCACCCUGGCUGUAACUCUGGUCAUAAUCAACCCUGGCUGUAACCCUGGUCAUAAACAACCCUGGUCAUAAUCAACCCUGGCUGUAACCCUGGUCAUAAACAACCCUGGUCAUAAUCAACCCUGGCUGUAACCCAGGUCAUAAUCAACCCUGGUCAUAGUCACCCUGGCUGUAACCCUGGUCAUAAUCAACCCUGGUCAUAGUCACCCUGGCUGUAACCCUGGUCAUAAUCAACCCUGGUCAUAAUCACCCUGGCUUAACCCUGGUCAUAAACAACCCUGGUCAUAAUCACCCUGGUUGUAACCCUCAUCAUAAUCACCCUGGCUGUAACCCUGGUCAUAAUCACCCUGGCUGUAACCCUGGUCAUAAUCACCCUGGCUGUAACUCUGGUCAUAAUCACCCUGGCUGUAACUCUGGUCAUAAUCACCCUGGCUGUAACUGGUCAUAAUCACCCUGGCUGUAACUCUGGUCAUAAUCACCCUGGCACCCAGAACCAAAUCUCACAAUGGUAUUACUUUAAACCUGAAAGGAGUGUAUAUGUGCACAGAAUGUUGUUAUUAUUCAUGUUGCUUUUUGAAGUUUUGAUGGUGGAAGUUUGGCCGUAUUACUUUGGGUUGACUUGGGAUUCAACAUCAACAUCGGUCCUCGAUGGUGCAGGUACUAGGACCCAGUUGGUAACUGGUUGACGUGGUACAUAUUGGAGACGGUCCUCGACGGUGCAGGUACUAGGGCCCAGUUGGUAACUGGCUGAUGUGGUACAUAUUGAUGUGAUGAUGAUGAUAAUCAUUGGCGUUUAUAAAACAGAUUUCAAAGCGCUUUUAAUUAUAUAGCAGCAUGUGAAAUGAUGGGGCACAACGAUACGUUGUGAAAUGAUGGGGCACAACGAUAUGUUGUGAAAUGAUGGGGUACAACGAUAUGUUGUGAAAUGAUGGGGCACAACGAUACGUUGUGAAAUGAUGGGGCACAACGAUACGUUGUGAAAUGAUGGGGCACAACGAUAUGUUGUGAAAUGAUGGGGUACAACGAUAUGUUGUGAAAUGAUGGGGCACAACGAUAUGUUGUGAAAUGAUGGGGUACAACGAUAUGUUGUGAAAUGAUGGGGCACAACGAUAUGUUGUGAAAUGAUGGGGUACAACGUUAUGUUGUGAAAUGAUGGGGCACAACGAUACGUUGUGAAA